GCGCAGCAGGCGCGAAAACUUUACAAUGCGAGCAAUCGUGAUAAGGAAACCCUGAGUGCCUGUUAUCACAGGCUGUUCUGGUGUCUAACACACACCAGGAGAAAGGGCGGGGCAAGACCGGUGCCAGCCGCCGCGGUAAUACCGGCUGCUCGAGUGAUAGCCACUUUUACUGGGCUUAAAGCGUUCGUAGCUUGGUCGUUAAGUCUCUGGGGAAAUCUUUUGGCUCAACCAAAAGGCGUCUCAGGGAAACUGGCGACCUAGGAACCGGGAGAGGUAAGACGUACUUCGGGGGUAGGAGUGAAAUCUUGUAAUCCCCGAGGGACGACCGAUGGCGAAGGCAUCUUACCAGAACGGCUUCGACAGUGAGGGACGAAAGCUGGGGGAGCAAACCGGAUUAGAUACCCGGGUAGUCCCAGCCGUAAACGAUGUGCGUUAGGUGUGUCAGCGACCACGAGUCGCUGAGGUGCCGAAGGGAAACCGUGAAACGCACCGCCUGGGAAGUACGGUCGCAAGGCUGAAACUUAAAGGAAUUGGCGGGGGAGCACCACAACGAGUGGAGCCUGCGGUUUAAUUGGAUUCAACGCCGGG
rnacentral:rRNA from 1 species